GGCGGAUUCAUUUGAAAAUAUCGUUUCAUUGUGUGGUCCUCGCCGGAUUCAAAAUUUUCUUCUUGUUUUGUAACUGUAUUAACAAGGGUACAGUCCCCCGUUUUUAGAAAUGGGAGUAUUAAUAAACAUUGACAAGUUUUUGUCUAAGUCUGACUUCCGCUUUCUUCUAAGAAACAAGCUGCCUUGGCCUUGGAGCGAAACACACUAUAUAAAAUCACCAAGAUGUGUUAAUUGUAAUUGGCAGACAAAACCAUUUAUCAUCAUGCAAAUUCACUUUGUAUCAUCAAUGAAUACUGAAGCCAUAAAGAGUUUAUUGGAUGAUAUAUAUGUUUGGUGCCCUAAUUGUGAUUUUUUCUUAUAUGAUCAUUACACUCCAGACGAGUGUGAGAUUUGCAAUGCGUAAUUUUUAUAAUAAUUUCAUAGCUAAUAUAAUAGCAUAAGUAAAUAAUACUUA
rnacentral:misc_RNA from 1 species